rnacentral:rRNA from 1 species
AUUGAACGCUGGCGGCAGGCCUAACACAUGCAAGUCGAACGAGUGGCGGACGGGUGAGUAAUGUCUGGGAAACUGCCUGAUGGAGGGGGAUAACUACUGGAAACGGUAGCUAAUACCGCAUACCAUCGGAUGUGCCCAGAUGGGAUUAGCUUGUUGGUGGGGUAACGGCUCACCCAGGCGACGAUCCCUAGCUGGUCUGAGAGGAUGACCAGCCACACUGGGACUGAGACACGGUCCAGACUCCUACGGGAGGAAGCAGUGGGGAAUAUUGCACAAUGGGCGAAAGCCUGAUGCAGCAAUGCCGCGUGAAUGAAGAAGGCCUUCGGGUUGUAAAGUACUGUCAGCGGGGAGGCGUUACCCGCAGAGGAAGCACCGGCUAACUCCGUGCCAGCCGCCGCGGUAAUAC